rnacentral:tRNA from 1 species
GCGACUGUCGUCCAGCCUGGUCUAGGACAUCAGCCCUCCAAGCUGGUAACACGGGUUCAAAUCCCGUCAGUCGCACCA